GAUGAACGCUGGCGGCGUGCUUAACACAUGCAAGUCGAACGGGAUCCAAGGGGUGCUUGCACUUUUUGGUGAGAGUGGCGAACGGGUGAGUAACACGUGAGUAACCUGUCCUUUUCUUUGGGAUAAGCAUUCGAAAGGGUGUUUAAUACCUUAUGUUCUGUCUGCCUCGCAUGGGGUGGGUGGGAAAGGCUUUGGCCGGAUUUGGGUGGGCUCGCGGUCUAUCAGCUUGUUGGUGGGGUGAUGGCUUACCAAGGCUUUGACUGGUAGCCGGCCUGAGAGGGGGGUAGGUCACAGUGGGACUGAAGAACGGCCCAGAAUCCUGCGGGAGGCAGCAGUGGGGGAUAGUGCACAAUGGGCGAAAGCCUGAUGCAGCGACGCCGCGUGGGGGAUGAAGGCCUUCGGGUUGUAAACUUCUUUUGCUCUGAACAAGGCAUGCCAGUGGGUGUGUUGAGUGUAGGGGUUGAUUAGCGCCGGCUAACUACGUG
rnacentral:rRNA from 1 species